UACAAGGAGUCUGGUGCUCCGUCCUGGAGUGAGAGGAGGGAAUUGAUACCACCGCAGCGGCUGUGGCCAACGCAAGGAGGAGCAGGCAGGGCAGAAUCGGGGGCAGGUGACGCCAACGCACGGGACGCCGGCACGCACGAGGAUGUCGCCGUUGCAGCCCACGCACCGAUCAAGCACGCCGGCGUCGAGUCGGCCAUUGAGUACGCCGUCUGCGCCCUCAAGGUCAAUUCUCUCUCUCUCUCUCUCUAUUUCUUUAAGAUAGUGCUCUAUCAUGUCAACUAGUACCCGUUGCUCUAAUUGUGCCGCCAACUUCACAUACCGGAGCAAAUCUCUUAUGGUGAAGGUUGCAUUUGCAUAUGCAUCUUGUCGAAUCAAACGGAGAGCAUAU